CACAUGGAGCCUGCAGGCUUGCUGAGGUCUAAAUGUUUAUUUUCUCUUUUCCCAAAAGGAUGAAAAUGUUGAUAAAGUACCCUUUGUGCUUGCCUGGGAACACAAAUAUCUUCUUGUCCUUUGAUCCUAAGAAAUGGAUGAAGAAACUCCAGGGUGAAUGCAUAGAAACUAUUUAUUCAUGUUAACAUCAAAGAUGAUGACUUCUGAAGAAUUAUGAUUCUGUCUAUAGAUGCAAUGGUAUACUCACUUGUUGGCUGUAACCUCUGAAAGCUGGUAAGAAAAUAUUUACCAAAAUAAUUAAAAUAGCUCUCUAAAACAAUUGAUAGUUUUGUAUCUUUUGAAAACAGACAGAUUUCCUGGAAUGUCUUAGAAAAAAUACUGCAAUAGCGGAUCAAUAUUAAUAUUCAUGGAAGACCCUAAAUUGCACAUCAAUCCAUCAUCAUUUCUUGUCUUUCAUAUGCUUUCUCUCUCUUUCUCUCCUCCCUUUCCCUCUCCUUCUGUCAAAACAGACACAGAAAUACACUCCACAUGACUAAAUGGUCAUUAAUUUAAAAAUAAUGUUUUGAAUAUGGAGGGCUGAAACAAUCAGAGGUACUAAGUUUU
ensembl:lincRNA